UAUUGCUCUGUCGACCAGGCUGGAGUACAAUGGCGUGAUCAUGGCUCACUGAAACCUUGAAUUUCCUAGGCUCAAGUGAUCCUCCCGCCACAGCCUCCCAAGUAACUGGGUCGACAAGCGCAGGCCAGCAGUUGCUGCUGGAGGAUGUGGUCCGGCUGCGGGGGUCCUCGCGGCGCACCGAGGCCAGGCGCUCUGGUGACAAGUAGCGGCGGACACUGCUAAAAGAGAGCACACAGUUGGGGGCAGAGCCUUCGAGGCCAGCAGGCAAGUGCCGUGAGCAGGCGAGAUCCUCCCUGCACCUUCUGCUGCUGGAACUCAGGCAAACAAACCACCUCUGUCUCCCAUGAGGUCUUGGAAGAGGCUGGGGGUCCCCGCCUUGUGCCUUACCUGCGCCCGGAGGUCGCCUCCUUCUUGGGAGAGGAUGGGGACGUGGCAUAGCCACCCACGCGCCGCGGGGGUCCCGAGCCAUUAAGGGGCGUCCUGGUGGGAAGGCCUUUCAAGAGCUGACACACUGGAGGGAUGGGGACAGAAGAGGGCGACGCAGAGCAUCCGCCAGCGCCGCCUUUAGGACCGCCAGCUCGUCUUCCUGUAACUGCAGCCGCUGCUCCAGCGCCGACACGCGGUCGUCCACUUCCAUACCGCUCGUGCCCGACAAAUUGUCAUCUGGAAGACGGGGGAGUGCCGGCUGCAGGGCCACCCAGGAGCUCCAGUACCCAACGGGUCCCUCCCGCCUUCCUGGGUCUAAGCGAGGGGGCCAGCCACGCCCCUUUCCUGUCCCGCUACCUGGGGCUGGGACACUUGGAGAUGGGCCAAGGAAGAGGACUCUGAAGGGGGAAGGAAAUCCCCACCGCUCUCCAACCCAUCCCCACACUCCUCUCUGCUGCAGCGCGCUGGCCCUGUGACCCUGGGGAAGUCCCUUCCCUCUUAUUUUCUAAGAUUCAGCGAACCCAGGAGCCUCUCGCUCUGGCUUUAAGAUUCUAUGACUAAGACGUGGCCAGGCACGGUGGCUCACGCAUGUAACCCUAGCACUUUGGGAGGCCCAGGCGGGCGGAUCACGAGGUCGGGAGAUCGAGACCAUCCUGGUCAACACGGUGAAACCCCGUCUCUACUAAAAUACAAAAAGAAAAAGAAAAAAAAAAAAAAUU